rnacentral:lncRNA from 12 species
AUGUCACUGAAUCAGCAAGUCAAGAAUUUAGGAGGGGUCCUCAUUGCUCACACCCUCCAGACUCUUUUUUUUUUUUUUUUUUUUUUUUUAGGAAAAGUCCUCUUUGCUGUCCACAGGAGCCACCCUGCAGACAGCUUUAUUCCUUACAGAAAAGCAGUCCGUCCCUCGCCCUCCCUGCUGUUUGCCUGGGGCAGUGGCGGCCCCUCAGUCCUGGCCCCAGGUGCCUGUCAGCUGUCAUCCUCCCCUUCAGAUUCUCCCGCUGACUCCGAGGCACUCUCGGACAAGUCACCUCCCAUCUGCUGGAACCUUCCAGACUGUGCAUCCCACAGGUUGUCUUUGUGCCCAUCAGCUGGGCUUCGACCCAAGGCCACCAUCAUCACCUUGUUUUUGCCAAAGAACAUCUGGCUGUGCUUCCCGCAUGUCCUUCAGCUUGGUGCUCCUCAUGUUGGCCACGGAGAAGACGCAAAGAAACAGAGUACUCAGCCAGGACGGCCUCCCCAACAAGAAAGCUUGGUGCAAGAACUUGUGCAGCCAGUGCAUUUUCUCCUGCUUUACAGCUAUUUGGUUUUUGUUUGUUUUCCAGGAAAAGGACAUACUGAGGAGUCCCUUAAGGAGCUCUGAAGACUGUCCCACUCAUGACUACCAA